rnacentral:rRNA from 1 species
GACGAACGCUGGCGGCGUGCUUAACACAUGCAAGUCGUACGGUAAGGCCCUUUCGGGGGUACACGAGUGUCGAACGGGGGAGUAACACGUGAGUAACCUUCCCACACCUUUGGGAUAACGCUAGGAAACUGGUGCUAAUACUAGAUAUGUGCUCCUGCUGCAUGGUGGGGGUUGGAAAGCUCCGGCGGGUGUGGGUGGACCCGCAGGCUAUCUGCUUGCUGGUGGGGUAGUGGGCUACCAAGGCGGCGACGGGUAGCCGGCCUGAGAGGGUGACCGGCCACAUUGGGACUGAGAUACGGCCCAGACACCUACGGGAGGGAGCAGUGGGGAAGAUUGCACAAGGGGCGCCAGCCUGAUGAAGAAAGGCCGCGUGCGGGAUGACGGCCUUCGGGUUGUAAACCGCAUUCAGCAGGGACGAAGCUUUUUGUGACGGUACCUGCAGAAGAAGCACCGGCUAACUACGUG